AAAAUUUUCCCGUUUAAACUAUACUAGAAAAACGUUUGGCAUGUGAAACGGACGAAGACUUAUUCUAACAGAAGUACAAAUACCAGUCCUCCCUUUUGUGUAUACAUAUGAGAAAACAUUUCAAAGUUAUUGAUUGAAUUCAAAUCCAUCACACAUACGGUACACAUUGUAAAAAUAAAGGACUUCAUUCCUAUCAAACAC
rnacentral:lncRNA from 1 species